AUUUAUUCAAUUCAAUUCAAAUUCAAUUCAAUUUAUUUAUAGUAUCAAAUCAUAACAAGAGUUAUAUCAAGACACUUUAUAGAUAGAGUAGGUGUAGACCACACUUUAUAAUUUA